GUCUUGAAACACGGACCAAGGAGUCUAACAUGUGCGCAAGUCAUUGGGUCUUGCACAGGCCUAGAGGCGCAAUGAAAGUGAAGGUCGGCCGGGCCGCCGACUGCGUUGGGAUCCCCGCCUUACGAGGUGGGGCGCACCAACGGCCCGUCCCUGCCGCUACGUCGGCGGGGCGGAGUGAGAGCGUACACGUUGGGACCCGAAAGAUGGUGAACUAUGCCUGGGCAGGACGAAGCCAGAGGAAACUCUGGUGGAGGUCCGCAGCGAUUCUGACGUGCAAAUCGAUCGUCAGACCUUGGUAUAGGGGCGAMAGACUAAUCGAACCAUCUAGUAGCUGGUUCCUUCCGAA
rnacentral:rRNA from 1 species